GUGUUGGGCGGGGCCCGGAGGGCGGGGCCUGCGGGCAGCGGGGAAGCCCCGCCUCCCGCAGUCAGGUGGUCCGGCGCAGCCGUGUUGCUCAGGCUCCGCCCUCCAUUCCAGGUCCCCGACUCAUUGGGCUGGGUGCUCCUUCCCGUAAGGGGAGCCUUCCGUUCAUCUGUAAAAAGGAGACUGAGCGUGGACCCGGGACCGAUUCCCACAGGCUCACCGUCCAACACGUCUGUGGAGGCUAGCCAUUAAGUGGUAGGGAAUGUAGUCAUUCACUGAACAUGUAGAAAGUGAGAGGCACCCCUAGAUAAGACAGACAGGGUCCCCCAACGGCAAGGGAAACGCAGAAUAAAGCCCAAAAUUCUUAAUCUAGCAUUUGCUGUUUUCUGUCAACUAAUGAACAGUACUCCUAAACUCUGUCUCCCAUUCUGUCUUCCAGGUACUCUGGGUAUACACUGUUGGUAGGAAGAGGCCCCUCAGUUUCUUGUCCGGAAAUGCCUUCUUUCAGUCCCCCUUCCCCAACCCCUUAGGCUUGGUAAUGAGAGACAGAAAAACACCUUCAGCACCAACAAAAACAUGUCAGGAUUAGAUUUUGGUGGCGAAUUAGAGAAACAAAAUGGGAAGGGAGAGUUAUGACAGAAAAAUUUCUUUCCAUAAGAAAUACGUCCAAAGAGUGACAGACAGUUCAAGCUUCAGUCUUAAGGUUCUGCUCAUCCUGGUCCAUAUUCUAAACAGUGGGAAGGGAAAUGUCUUAUUUCUUUUCAGAAGACUGGUUUGGAAGGUCUGCAUAUUUUUGCUUAAAUCUCACUGGUCAAAACAAUCAUCUUGGCACAUCUGUUUCCUUCCUUUUUAAAAGAUAAAAAAUAGUACCUCUGUUAUUAAUAAGGACUGGAAGAGCGAGGGCCCAGUGGUAAUGCACUCGCCUAGCAUGCCUCAGAGUGAGGAGAAUGGUGUCAUGAAAGAACAAAUACUUGAACAAAAUAAGCAGUCUUUUUCUUGGUCGAUAUUUAAAACCCGGUCCCCAGAUCUUCAAAUUUCUGAGAUUAAAAACAACACAGCAACCAAGCCCACUGGAAGGAUAUCCGGUAAUGAAAACUGAGAAUCAGGGUCUAGUGACCCAGGAGGAAAACCAAGCAGGUCUGAUGUCAUAGAUGCCAAGAUAAAUUGUGUCCAGGAGGGAGUGACCAACUGUCAAUUGUGACAAAUGCUGCUGAGAAAUCAAGAGAGAUAAGAACAGAGACAUGACCACUGGAUUUGGCAAUACCAAGGAGUCCAAUAUGAGGUAUUAAGGGGAUUAAGACGCAAUGUGAUCAGGACCUCCGGCCGCCAUGACACCUCCACUAUAAUAGUCUAUACACCCAAGCUGUCUGCCAAAAUAAGCCCUUCCUCCUUCUUGCUGCUUCUAUCAAGUAUUUCUCAGAGCAACAAGACAAAUAAUAUUUCUGCCAUGAGUCAAGGUAUUCUCCAAGAGAUUCAGGCCACUUCCAUCCUGGACUCCCUCAUCUGAAGGGCAGACUUUCAGAUUGGCCCAAUGAGAAAGAAGGCUGGAGGCUGAUCAUCAAUAUGUAAACGCCUCAGCUUCCACUCAUCAAUAUCUGAACGCCUCGGCUUCCACUCACAGACCGUUAGCUACAGCCGCUCAUAGGUGCCGUCCAAGAGAGACUGGAACCGAUUCCCAAACAGUCGGUCUCAGUUCAUUGGUGCCACUACCAGAGCUUUCGCAGAAAACGGACCUACAGACCUCUUCUAAAUGCCACUGGGCUUUGCAGUGGCCCCAUUCCCCAUUUCUCUCCUGAAUCAUCACCGUUGAACAGAACAA